GUGGAAAGGGAAGAUGCACAAAGCCUCUUUCUUUUUGAGAGUGUUUCUUCUCCUUACUUUCCUCGCAGUGGGAGGAGAUGAGCCAGCACUCUUGGGAACAAAACUGACGGAUCAGCUUGUAAGGAGGAAGGGAAAUGUUGGCUGCAUGUUCCCCAGGAGGAGAGGUACCAGACUGGGUCCCAUUCUGCUCUAUUGCCAUCGUUCCUGCUGACUCCCGGCAGCCCGUUCAAACCGACCUCGAAAAUCAAGGUCCGUUCUGGCUGGUGGUGCCUGGACCCAGAGCGGCCCCGCAACCUGGGGCUCUGCACUAGUCCCUCUGGCUGCUGCCCUUCCUCAUCCUCCGCUGUCCUCAACCGCAGCAGUCCCUCCCGGUGGUGGAAACCACGUCGUGUCUCAAGUCAGUGGUGAUGACAAGGAGUGAGCAGGAUGAUGAUGAAGACAAGGGAAGACAUAUCACCAGAUCUUUCAUGGUGAGCGAAUGUAUCUAAACACAGACAAGCCACCCUUCAGCAGGAGAGGCAGGCGGAGAGAGCUGGAGGCAGGAGAAAGAUUUAUUUUUAACACUGCAGCGUAUUAAAUAACAUGCCCUGAAACGCAUGUAAAUUAGAGCUGUGAAUCCAGCUGGGAGCGCUGCGAUUUGGGCCAGACCUCCCUGGAGCCACGGCUGCUCCCCUUCGCCCGGGGAGCGCUGCUGCUGCGCCUGGGUCCUCUCAGCAGAGCUGCCCAGCAAGAAGGAUGGUUUAAUAUCUAAUAACCCCUAUUACAAGCUUCAAGGGAUUAUUGUUCUGUUUAAAUAUAUGCCCAAGUGUCACAGGGAAGAGGCUCGGAGCUGAGCUGCCUCGUCUCCAGGCCUAGUUGGUGGUUACAAGAAAAUAACCCUGACUUUUUCUGAAUCGGGUUUAAAAUAAAAAAAAAAAAGCUGGGAUGAUGAAGACAGGGAGGAAGGAGACGGGCACUGAAGCGGGGUUUGGACCUGGAGGCUGGCGAGCGGCGCAGGGUGACCGUAACCACCAAGCAGUCGAGGCGAGCCGAACGCACCUUAUUAAUUAAAGUCUCUCUGACGAGGGCUACAGAAUAAUUAACUUGGUGGCGGCAGCGGCUGUGGUUCCCGUGCCAGGAGCUGAUCACCCUGGGGUCCGGCGUCCUGGCUGGAGGCUGCAUGUGUGGCUGGGACGGCUCGGCGGUGGUCCGAGCAGCGGCACCACCCGAGCCCCAGCAAACUCACCGCAGCGAUGAGCACCCGCCAUCCCAGGGGCCACGCUGCGGGGCCUGCACGGCUAAACCUCGCUCCGUUUGCCCGCCUUAGGGACCGUGCCGAUGCAAUGAGCCUUCGAUGCCAAUCGAAGAGGAAGAUGCAGGCGCUCACUGCUCUGAAUUACUGCCGCCAAUUACCGCGUGCAAUUAGGGCUGGAUCACCGCCCGUCCACUCAGCAAGGCGGGAGACAAAUCGGCCUGGCUCCCUGCGACCCAUUCCCUGGAGGGAGGCAGAUAUUGAUUUAAGAGAGGUGCCUACCUGCUCUUAAUGGGACCCGUGUUCGGUGAGUCGUAGCCGCGUCCCCAGUUAACAAUUUGUGGAUUUAAUCUAAUUUGCCGAGGGGGUCGGCAGGGUGGUUGAGUUAACGCCGUUCCCUCUCUCCCGGCUAAGAGCCCCCAGGGCGCAGUCAAAGCCGAGCCGCUCCAGCGCUCUGCAGAGCCAACGCGUUUCCUUAAACAGGUUUCUUCCUCCAAGGGAGGUAUUUGCUUGAGAGAAAUCUGGCCUGGGAUCUAGAGAAACGGCUUCGUGCUCAGCCAGUCCCUGGCGGAUGCUCCUGUCCCGGCGGGAUGCUCCGGGCCGCUCAGCCCGGGCAUGGAGCCAUCCCGGGGGGUUCAGGUUCCCCAGAUCUGUGCUGGAGCUGUGCCGUGCUGGAAGCGCACCUGAGGCAGGACAAAUUGGGAUUAACGCUUCUCCGACACGUGCUUUCUGUCUGGCCUUGGUUGAAUCAUUUAACCAUGCACGGCAUUUCCCCCCCUGCAAAGGUUUCUUCUGCUAUGGGGCAGCUGCAGCCCCACGAUCCACCAGGCAGCAGAAGAGCAGCGAAAGGACAAUUAAAUCCCUCACAUUGAUGGGGACGCUUUUGUCCUCGGUGUCACACAGCCCUUAAAUCCCAGUUGCCACCCAAAGCCCACACAUGUCCCAUCCCUUGGGUUGUCACCAGCCCACGGCAGCAUCCAUCAGAGGACGGGUCACUUCAAGCCCGUCACCGCCUGGGUGGUUUUGGGGGGCCCUGAGGCCACCCCACAGGGCUGGAGACGGGGACGGAGGGUCGGCAUCUUUUGGGACAGAGCAGCGGCACGUGCACAGGAGGAAGAAAGCCGGCGAAUGUGCUUUGCACCCUGCUGCCACCUCUCCCGUCCCCCCACUUCCUCACCAGUUACUGCCCCGUCCUUCCACAAGUGCUUUUCACACCUUUUCCGACUACUGCUCAGCGGCUAAUAAUGAAUUUUGAUAGUUAACAAUAAGCGAGUGAUAAUUUCUAAAAGAAUGUGAAACAAUUAUUUGCUCUGUUGGGGGAUUAGACGACAUUUAGGCUCUAUUUAAUGGCAAACUAAUUAAAUUACAUGAGAAAGCAAAUGGAAUCUCUUUUUGUUAAUUAUGAAUUUGCAAGCUACAAAGGCUAAACGAUGAUGGAUUCUGUAAUCUGCAGCGCUUUCAGCUAUCUGCCGUGAUAAGAUGACAACCAAGCAAGAAUGGAAGCGAGUGCAUUUUAAUUUCUGUAUCGAUUCUAUAACAGCAUAGCGAUCCAUUAACGGUGAUCCGCAGGAACCGACGUUGACUGGCAGCCGGCAGCUAAUUAUAUUAAAAACUGGAGGACCAUUGUUUAA